GUAUUAAAUUUCGCCUUGCGGCAGACAAAGCAUCCAUUACAUCGAAUAAGAAUUUAUGAGUUCCGAAGGCAGACUUUACCCCGCCUUCAAAAAAUUAGUGCACAUGUGUAAGUGGAUUAAAGAGAACGAGCACAUGCAAUCAAGGACUGCCAGCAUCAACCCUCGGUAAUUCAAUAAUGAUCCUUCCGCAGGUUCACCUACGGAAA
rnacentral:misc_RNA from 1 species